rnacentral:rRNA from 1 species
GCACCAGUGGGGAAUCUUGCGCAAUGGGCGAAAGCCUGACGCAGCAACGCCGCGUGCGGGAUGAAGGCCUUCGGGCUGUAAACCGCUUUCAGCAGGAACGAAAAUGACGGUACCUGCAGAAGAAGGAGCGGCCAACUACGUGCCAGCAGCCGCGGUGACACGUAGGCUCCAAGCGUUGUCCGGAUUUAUUGGGCGUAAAGAGCUCGUAGGCGGUUUAGUAAGUCGGGUGUGAAAACUCUGGGCUUAACCCGGAGACGCCAUCCGAUACUGCUAUGACUUGAGUUCAGGAGGGGAGCGGGGAAUUCCUAGUGUAGCGGUGAAAUGCGCAGAUAUUAGGAGGAACACCGGUGGCGAAGGCGCCGCUCUGGACUGAAACUGACGCUGAGGAGCGAAAGCAUGGGUAGCAAACAGGAUUAGAUACCC